GAUGGCAAUACCAUAUAAUCAGAUGUUGAAAAAAACACGUUGCUUUUUUCUUCGUCGACCACCAACGCACAAGCAUCACCAAGCAAGACCGAAAAUUCCAAUAAAAAAAAACCUUUUUGGCCGGCGUUAUCCAAGGCAUCCUGCCACAAACCCACAGUUCGCCACAGCAUCAAUCGUGCCAAUUUGGAAUUCUACGUGGAAUUAAUCCAUGAGACAAUAAUACUGCUCGCCGAAACGAGCCAUCAUGCAAAUAAUUAAAUCAAAAAUAAUAUAUAUCUGGCCAGGGUCCAUUCACAGGAUCCCUGCGGCAUCCCCGCUAAAUCAAAGGGGGCACCAGACAUACAAGUGGGAGACAGCACCGACGCGGAAUUCCCAUGGAAUGCGCUGAAAACCCUUUCAUGCCGGCGACCGGCCGAAUAGUACACCCAUGCCCAUCCAUGCCUGUGUCCGAGUCACCCCCGCCCCACACGCAACAAAACUUCGGCCUUUUCCUUGGUCUCCAAAUAAAAGGUCGAUGUGCGUGUGUGGAAUCAAAUUAAGGUGACCUCCAGGAAGCAAUUUGGAUCUGAAACCCUCCACGAGCGCAUGAAGCACACGGGGCUUGUUCCAUCCAUAACACACCAGGGUUCCCCAAAAAGUGUGUUCACUUUCUUCAUCUAAAAAAAAAACCAUAAAGUCUCAACGCCUUAUUCUCUAAAAAACAACUGAAUAAACAAAAAGGUACGAUAAUUUCGUUUAACACAAAUAUAUCGAACAGACAAUUAAUAGAGAAAAUAUCUCCAACUAAUAAACAAUAAUCAUAAAAAUCGUGCUUUACGCUGAGUACUCUUUUCAGCUUUUCGAGCGGAACGCUGUCAAACUCCAUAUAAAAACACAUCGCUAAGCGUAAGCUAAAAACACGCUGAAAACAGGCUGAAAAAGUAGUACUCUGUUUAUGGUACGGAAAUGACAAAAAAGGCGUAAGUGGAAACACUUGAAACCAUUACCGGCAUCCUUUUUGUAUUUUUCAUUGUUUUUAAUGAUUCGUUUUGCAUUACUAACUUGUGAAAAAUAAAUUAAAUAGAGAGAACAAUAAGUGCAGAUAAAAAAAAAAGAACGUGUUUUGUCAAGGAAACAAAACCAUUUGAUUGCUGUCAAAUUCCGCUCGGGGAACAAUUAAAAACUUG